ACCAUGGCCUACCCUCAGGCAAAGGCGCUGUAUCAAAUAACCUGGGCGGCACAAGGACUUGCGGACGUUUAACGUUUUCCUAACUACAAUAUUGUAACUCGGACUUUUAAACAACCAAAGCUAGCGAAAGAAGGCGAUUGUAAAAAAAAAGAAAAGAAGAAGGAAUUACAUACCUUGUGGCGUGAGCAAUAAUGCGCCCGGCACUCUUCACAUUUAUUUUUCAUUAACCUUUCUUAAUUAGCGAAAAGCCAUGAUUACGCCUCAAGUUGACUGCGCCUACCACUACCAAAAUAUUUCAAGAAGGAAAAAGACUGCAUGUGAUUUCUCGCGCACAAAAGGACGUUUGACCAUCGUGCGCGGCGACUUCGCGCUCAUCGGAUGCUGAAGCCUUGGUGCCUUGGUGCUCUCAGUCGCUACUCGCCAUGUGUUUGGUUAUGGACAGUGUCGAUUAUUGCCUGAAAAGAAUUCUGAGUGUAAUGGUAACUCUAGUUUUAAUUGCGCUGUUAUACGUCUUCGUUUUCAAGCCGGCAAUUGAAUCUUCAGACGACGACCCACCCCAGGCAUUCAUCAAAGCCUGGAAGAAAGCGUUGAAGACCAUCAAAAAAGAGUCUGAGCAACUGAUGGACAGCAAACAAUUUCGAAACUGACAGUUCAAAAUUCUCUGGUACUAGCACGUGACCAUCGUGAAUUACGCGUGCCGAAGUUACGUACUCAACAUGUGUGACACGUCGGAACAAGAUGUUGGCAGCAUAGGAAGUGAUUCUACAGCACCUUUUUAUCAAUAAUAAUUGAAAAUAUGACAUUUCAAAUAUAGGCCAUAUAACGCUA